GGUCGGUCGCCUUCAACAAUUAGCAGCAAAGAAACAAACACGAAACGCACAAAACAAGGCCGAUGGAAUGACGAACCUGAUUUCACCAUUAACUUCCUUCUACCUUUUGAGUCAGUGUGUCAUUGUAGUUUGCCUUUCCUGUUACAGUCAUUUGCAACUGUCUUUGAGUUAGAUGCGUAACACGUUUCCCUCCGCUCAACGCCGCCACCCCCUUCCCCUCCCCUAGAAUCAGCAACUUACGUAGAGAAAGUACAUUUCUAAGCCUCCUCGAUUGACAGAAGCUACGUAAGACACGAGCAGUGUUCAUGCUGUACUUCUAAAGCCAAAUGCAGAGAAGGCGGUGGGGGAAGAGUAGUGAUAUCUUGUUGAGGGAACACUCAAAGAAAUGCAGCCUCAUGCUUGCGCUACAUACCUGUGUGGGUAGAGCCCUUGGUACAAACAGCGGAAGAGGCUGAUGAGCCCUGAGCAUCUGAUGAGAAAAAUUCCUUCCCUUACCUGGAAUUGAGCUCUGACAGACGACACACUGGAUACUGGAUCUUUUUUGUCAACUUUUUUUUAGGUUAUGGGCCAAGGAAUGUGUAAGAGUAUUGCCAACACAAAGCACAUUGUUACAAGAAAUUAUUUCUAUGAUACAUGUGAAUGUUGCCUUUGGGUUUAUUCUUGAAAUAACAAUAAUUAAACUGUU